AUUGAACGCUGGCGGAAUGCUUUACACAUGCAAGUCGAACGGCAGCACGGGUGCUUGCACCUGGUGGCGAGUGGCGAACGGGUGAGUAACACAUCGGAACGUACCCUGACAUGGGGGAUAACGUAGCGAAAGUUACGCUAAUACCGCAUACGUCCUGAGGGAGAAAGCAGGGGAUCGUAAGACCUUGCGCGUUAGGAGCGGCCGAUGGCGGAUUAGCUAGUUGGUAGGGUAAAGGCCUACCAAGGCGACGAUCCGUAGCGGGUCUGAGAGGAUGAUCAGCCACACUGGGACUGAGACACGGCCCAGACUCCUACGGGAGGCAGCAGUGGGGAAUUUUGGACAAUGGGGCAACCCUGAUCCAGCCAUUCCGCGUGAGUGAAGAAGGCCUUCGGGUUGUAAAGCUCUUUCGGCAGGAACGAAACGGUGGCCCCUAAUACGGGUUGCUAAUGACGGUACCUGAAGAAGAAGCACCGGCUAACUACGUGCCAGCCGCCGCAGUAA
rnacentral:rRNA from 1 species